UGAACGGCCUUUGCGUGUCGUGUUUGGAGCCCAUAAACGGCCCAUUCCCUCAAGCCCUAGAUUGUAGGACUCUUACUCGACGUAUGCUUCCGGCACGUCGACGGGAGACAGGGAGCCUCGCCUCCGCCGGAAGACGAUGCUUCGUUCCUCUCUCGCUGCCCUCAAGGGAUGGAACUCCUCCUUCCUCCUCACUCCCCGGUCGCCACCGUCCCGUCGAUGCUUUCGAUCGGAAGCCGCGCUGGACGCCCUCCGUUCCCAUUCUAGAACCGUUACCGCCGCCGCCCGCUCCCACCUCGUUCUGUACAACUACCCCUCCUUCUCCGGUGCCUUCGCCGCCCUGUUCGCCCACCUUUUCCACUCUCACCUCGGCCUCCCCUUCCUCGUCUUGCCCUUCUCCUCCGUCGAGCCUUUCAGGGCGGAAGACUUCGAAACCGGAGCUUUCGAAACGUGCUACCUUCUCGAUUUCAUCGGUCCAAAACUCUUCUCGGUGGAGAUGUCGCGGAUAAUUCCUAGAGUGAUAGCUUUUGAUCACCGAGAGAAUACUUUGAGAAGGAUUUCAAGAAUAGGAGAAUGCUUGGAUAAUCUGGAGCUCCGCAUCGACACCAAGAAGAGCAGUGCUCUUGCUGUCUAUGAUUUCUUCUCGGAGAAGCUCUUUCAAAUGAAGUCCUCGCAGGUUACGCGAAGAGUUGAGAUUGCAAACUUAUUGAACCAAGAGGAUGCAGAACGUGUUGCAACUGUUCUAAGACAUGUAGAAGAUGUGGAUCUUCACCAGUGGAGGAUGCCUGAUAUCAAGGCAUUCAACAUUGGACUUAGGGAUGAGCGUGCAAAGCUGAAUUGUAUCACCAAUCCUUUUAUGUUUGAGCAGCUCUUGCAAAUCGAUGCUAGUGUUUUGAUUGCCAAGGGAAAUUCUUAUACUCGUUCCCGUGAGGAUGCAGCAAAGAAGUUGCUGGGAAAGGCUUUUAAAAUCCAACUGGGAAGAGGAUUAUAUGGCAAGUGCCUGUUUGAUACUUUUCCAAUCACAGAAACAGUCUUUUUAAAUAUUUAAAGGUAAGGCUGCACACAUUGACCCUUCCCAGAUCCCGCAUUGGAAGCCUCGUGCACUAAGUAUGCGCUUUUUAAUUUAAUACUAUUUCACCUUGUUCAGUAUAGAGAUUAUAAAUAUUAGGAUUUACCUGUUUGGUUCAAGCUUGAUUUCUCCAUGAAAUUCCAAGUGGAAAUUCAAGUUCCAACCAAAACACCAUUUUGUAUUUGGAUACUUGUUUGAUGCACCAACCAGAGAUUUUUUAUCUACUGUCAAAUUCAUUGCAUCAAGUUGUGAAAAUUCUACUUAUGGAUGAUGCAUUCUUAGUGAUAGUUGUUUGUACUAUUUAAGUGUUAAUGUUACCAUUAUGCAUGAUCUGAACGCAACCAUUAACCUAAAUGACAUAGAAUUAUUUGUGAUCUGUGGCAUGUGCAUUACGUGAAGUUUUGUGAAAUAUUCUUGUCAAACCUUUUUUUAUUUUGCCUUGAACUUUGAUCACUUUAGUGCAUAAAUUACGUGAAGCAGUCCACAAAUGUUAUCAACACGCUGGAUAUAACUAGUGUCAUGCCAAAUCAUCAUAAACUUUUAGGGAAUUUUCCUUCCUACUCUAUUUAAUAGUUUACUUCUUUGCUAAUGCUAGGCUGUCAGGGCUGAUGGAAAUUCAGAUCUAAGCCAUGAAAUUGGUGUUGAGCUUAGUAGAAGAAGUGCAGCGGCUGGUUUGAGGCCUAUAGGGGCAGUUGUGUUCAUGCAACGGUGUAAUUUGAAGAUGUGUUUGAGGAGCACAGACUGUGGCACUGAUACUUCAGAGAUUGCAAAGGCAUUUGGUGGAGGUGGCAACCAGAGUUCAAGUUCCUUCAUCAUAAGAAUGGAUGAAUAUAACCGUUGGAUCUCAGCAAAUUGAUUAUAGAUCCAUGAAGAUCUGCAACAAAUAUGCACCAAAUCCACAUGUUUUUUGAGUUAUCGUGAUGAAGCAUCAAAGGAACUCGGCCAAAACUUCAAGAUGAUCUCUGUUGCCUCGAGGAGAAAGCUUUUGCUCAGUACAGCUAGGUCAUCCAGUAGGUUCAAUGGCAUGAGCUGUCAGCCCUCCUCCACUCUUCAUUCUCCCUUAGUAACACCAUAACAUUAUACUUCCACUGAUGCAGCAUCAAUUUACUGUCUCUCUGUUGAAAUUUUAGGAGCAGAUGACGUCCCAAGAGCACUGAGAUUUAGUUGGUUGUAUAGGACAUGUAUACCUUGCGGGUUUUAGAUAUAUAUUUAGUAGGUAGUAGUACCAGCCUCACGUGGGUUUUAUAGGGCUGCGUUUUCUUUUAAUUACCAGUGGAGAUACUAAACCAUAAUGAUUUUUCUCAAAUUUCCUAUAUAAAUGUCUUAUUAAUAAGACUGGGAUUCAAGUUCCUGCUUUAAUAA